AGGUCACCAUGGAAGUCCAGUUUCCCAUUGAAAUCCAGUUUACCAUGGACGUCCAAUUUACCAUGGAAGUCCAGUUUACCAUGGAAAUCCAGUUUACCAUGCGAGUCCAGUUUACGAUGUAAAUACAGUUUACCAUAGAGGUCCCGUUUACCAUGGAAGUCCAUUUUACCCUGGAAGUCCAGUUUACCAUGAAAAUCCAGUUUACCAUGGAAGUCCAGUUUACCAUGGAAAUCCAGUUUACCAUGCGAGUCCAGUUUACGAUGUAAAUACAGUUCACCAUAGAGGUCCAGUUUACCAUGGAAGUCCAUUUUACCCUGGAAGUCCAGUUUACCA